CGCUCGGCUUCCUCUCCCUAGAGACAAGCCGUCUUUUAAUUUCUUCAGCGGGGAAAACCAAGUUAAUGCAGUCUCGUUCGUAGCCAGAUGGUGGCUGCACCUCCAGGCAUCAAGGCUAUGUUCCACACAGGAAAAGAGGAGAAUGACAAAGAUAAAAAGCUUUCUCUAGGCACCUCCUGGCUGGCUUUGACAAAGCAAACUGCCAUGUUAUAAACUGCCUAUGGAAAAGGCCAUGUGGCAAGGAGCAGGUGACAGCCAGCAAAGAACUG